rnacentral:rRNA from 1 species
CAGUCGCCACGGUAAUACGUAGGUGGCAAGCGUUGUCCGGAAUUAUUGGGCGUAAAGGGCUCGCAGGCGGUUUCUUAAGUCUGAUGUGAAAGCCCCCGGCUCAACCGGGGAGGGUCAUUGGAAACUGGGAAACUUGAGUGCAGAGGAGGAGAGUGGAAUUCCACGUGUAGCGGUGAAAUGCGUAGAGAUGUGGAGGAACACCAGUGGCGAAGGCGACUCUCUGGUCUGUAACUGACGCUGAGGAACGAAAGCGUGGGGAGCGAACAGGAUUAGAUACCCCGGUAGUCCCUGUCUCUUAUAC